AUGCCUUCGUACUUUGAAUCCUUACAUAAUGAACUGCAACCUAACUUAGUACAUAAACUAACUCAAAGCCUAACUUCUGUCACAAAUGGCUGAGGCUCAGCCAAUCACAACAGUGGAGCUUCAGUCAGUUGCAGGCAGCCCACGGAUCAGGUGAUGUUCAGAAAAGAUGAAGAAACUGUGGCCCAGAGAGGUGAAACAACCCAGCCGAUGUCACGUCGUAGCUAAGAUGACAGCUAUUGGCCUGUACCUCGGCCCUCAAGUUUCCCAUGCAAUGUGCUUCCUACUAUUCAUUGUUGCCCCGUCUCUAG